AUUGAACGCUGGCGGCAUGCCUUACACAUGCAAGUCGAACGGAAGCAUGAUCUAGCUUGCUAGAUUGAUGGCGAGUGGCGAGCGGGUGAGUCAUACAUCGGCACGUGCCCUGUUGUGGGGGAUAACUAGUAGAAAGAUUAGAUACUACCGAAUACGACCUGAGGGUGAGAGGGGGGGACAGCAAGGCGUCAUGCUGUAGGAGCGGCCGAUGUCUUAGUAGCUAGUUGGUGGGGUAAAGGCUCCACAAGGCGACGAUCAGUAGCUGGUCUGAGAGGACGAUCAGCCACACUGGGACUGAGACACGGCCCAGACUCCUACGGGAGGCAGCAGUGGGGAAUUUUGGACAAUGGGCGAAAGCCUGAUCCAGCAAUGCCGCGUGUGUGAAGAAGGCCUUCGGGUUGUAAAGCACUUUUUUCCGGAAAGAAAUGGCUCUGGUUAAUACCUGGGGUGGAUGACGGUACCGGAAGAAUAAGGACCGGCUAACUACGUG
rnacentral:rRNA from 1 species